AACUUGAGAGUUUGAUCCUGGCUCAGAACGAACGCUGGCGGCAGGCCUAACACAUGCAAGUCGGACGAAGGCGGCAGGUUUCUGCUGCCUUAGUGGCGAACGGGUUAGUAACGCGUGGGAACGUGCCUUUUUCUACGGAAUAGUCUUGGGAAACUGGGUUGAAUACCGUAUACGCCCUCGUUGUCUCAUUGUCUUAUGAUGUUAUGAGAUUGUGAGGGGAAAGAUUUAUGUCGGAGAGAGAUCGGCCCGCGUUAGAUUAGGUAGUUGGUGGGGUAAGGGCCUACCAAGCCUACGAUCUAUAGCUGGUUUGAGAGGAUGAUCAGCAACACUGGGACUGA
rnacentral:rRNA from 1 species